ACAAUGGAGAGUUUGAUCCUGGCUCAGGAUGAACGCUAGCUACAGGCUUAACACAUGCAAGUCGAGGGGAAACGAUAGAGAAAGCUUGCUUUUUCUAGGCGUCGACCGGCGCACGGGUGAGUAACGCGUAUCCAACCUGCCCAUCACUUGGGGAUAACCUUGCGAAAGUAAGACUAAUACCCAAUGACGUCUCUAGAAGACAUCUGAAAGAGAUUAAAGAUUUAUCGGUGAUGGAUGGGGAUGCGUCUGAUUAGCUUGUUGGCGGGGUAACGGCCCACCAAGGCGACGAUCAGUAGGGGUUCUGAGAGGAAGGUCCCCCACAUUGGAACUGAGACACG
rnacentral:rRNA from 1 species